UGGCGGACGGGUGAGUAAUGUCUGGGAAACUGCCUGAUGGAGGGGGAUAACUACUGGAAACGGUAGCUAAUACCGCAUAACGUCGCAAGACCAAAGAGGGGGACCUUCGGGCCUCUUGCCAUCGGAUGUGCCCAGAGGGGAUUAGCUAGUAGGUGGGGUAACGGCUCACCUAGGCGACGAUCCCUAGCUGGUCUGAGAGGAUGACCAGCCACACUGGAACUGAGACACGGUCCAG
rnacentral:rRNA from 1 species